rnacentral:tRNA from 1 species
AGGGGGUUAGCUGAGUGGUAUAGCAAUAAAUUUACACUUUAUAGACAGAGUUUCGAUUACUCUACCCCCUA